AUACGGAGGGUGCAAGCGUUAAUCGGAAUUACUGGGCGUAAAGGGUUCGUAGGCGGUUAUUUAAGUCAGAUGUGAAAGCCCCGGGCUCAACCUGGGAAUUGCAUCUGAUACUGGGUAACUAGAGUUUAAGAGAGGAGUGUGGAAUUUCCGGUGUAGCGGUGAAAUGCAUAGAGAUCGGAAGGAACAUCAGUGGCGAAGGCGGCACUCUGGCUUAAAACUGACGCUGAGGAACGAAAGCGUGGGUAGCAAACAGGAUUAGAAACCCCUGUAGUCC
rnacentral:rRNA from 1 species